UGGUCCGUUACCCCUCCUGUACUUACACAUUUUGGCUGCCAGCUUCCUAAGCAUUCUCUAAAUACUCCAUGAUUGAAGAGAUGGUCAUACAGAAAGAACAAACAGACAUCAUGCAUAUAUCAUCGGGAAACAUCAAGAGAAUGAGAGGAUGGCUCUCAGCUUGUUGGGUCAAAGUUGAAAUGCAAGUUUUGAUACCUUUUUCGGAGAGGCGGAGAUGGGCACAGCACAGCAGCAAAGAGCUGGUAGCCUGGAACACAUUGCCUAAUGUGCUGGCUGCGACAGAUAAUCAAUUGUUUAACUGUGAGCUCACAGAUUUGUCAUGACAUAAAUACGACACCCUGCAGUUUGCUUUUGAUCACACAUCAUCUUCAGGCAGAGAUUUACAGGAGGAUAGAAGGAUGCAAUCUGAGACCUUCCAAAGGUAGUGUGAACAUGGACUCGGGGCAAGCUCAGUUCCAUCCAUCCAGCUCACCAAGCAGACCAGACCCACCUUCAGAAUGACUUUCCCCCUGAGCCCAGCUUCAGUUGAUGUAUUUAUUCCCGCCAUCAUUUUCAUGCUUCUAAUUUAAGUUGUAACACUUUUC
rnacentral:lncRNA from 1 species